UACGUAGGGUGCGAGCGUUGCCCGGAUUUACUGGGCGUAAAGAGCGCGCAGGCGGUCGUUCAAGUCGCGUGUGAAAGCCCCCGGCUCAACUGGGGAGGGUCACGCGAUACUGAUCGACUCGAAGGCAGGAGAGGGUAGUGGAAUUCCCGGUGUAGUGGUGAAAUGCGUAGAUAUCGGGAGGAACACCAGUGGCGAAGGCGACUACCUGGCCUGUUCUUGACGCUGAGGCGCGAAAGCUAGGGGAGCAAACGGG
rnacentral:rRNA from 1 species